AAAACAUGGACCAGCUUCCUCUUCGGCUGUGAGUCAGAGCUGCUAGAAAGAUCAGGAAACCAGUCCUCAGCUGGGAACGUUUGACGUGUCCACCAUGGCUCGGGUCGCCCUCCUGUGUCUGCUCGCGUCCAUCGGGUGCUGCGUGGGUCAGAGGAUCCUGUCAGAAGGCUCUGUGCACGCAGGUGUCGGAAGCAAUGUGACGCUGAAAACUCCGAUUCACGACCUGCAGAGCUCGGCUCUGUUCUGGCACUUUAAUGACGGGAAGGAGAUUGUAAAUGUUGCCUCGGUGAGCUCCUCCACGCUCAGACUGAACACGUCCUACGAGGGCAGAGCGUGGAUUAAUCCAGCCAACGGCCACUUGACCCUGGGCGCGCUGACACUGCAGGACAGUGGGGAAUAUAUCAUCACCAUCGUAUACAAACACGGUCAGAGCGACAUUGCAAAGAUACGCCUCACGGUCUCAGGGACCCAGAACGGAGGAAAUCCACGCGCUCGCUCUUCACUCGUCACAUGUGGACGCUCGGUUUUCAGCACGUACGGCCAAACCGUGUCAGGACCAGGUGUGGCGGUCCCAGCUGCAACAAUGAAAUCUCCACCCACCGGCACCACCCCCAUGCCAGCUCUCCCUGAGCAGAUCACAGAUUACUUUGUGUCUCUGGUUGUGUGUGUGGUUGUGAUCGUCGUGCUGUCGGCUGGUUUCCUGCUGCUCCUCUACAGAUGGAUGGAGAACAGGAAAAACAGGAAUUCAGAUGGAAGACAGGUGGAGAUACCUGCGGCCCAGCAGAAGAACGGAGCUCCAGGAUCCACAUGUGAAGACUCCACCUACCAGACCAUGACUCCAGCCCCCACAGACCUGGACCACAUCUACUCCACCCUCACUGACAUGCAGUACAUGUCACAUGUGCGAUACAUUCAAACGGACACAAUUUCCUGCAAAUCACUAACAUCCCAGUAA
rnacentral:lncRNA from 1 species